rnacentral:rRNA from 1 species
UACGUAGGUGGCAAGCGUUGUCCGGAUUUACUGGGCGUAAAGAGCGCGCAGGCGGUCGUUCAAGUCGCGUGUGAAAGCCCCCGGCUCAACUGGGGAGGGUCAUUCGAUACUGAUCGACUCGAAGGCAGGAGAGGGUAGUGGAAUUCCCGGUGUAGUGGUGAAAUGCGUAGAUAUUGGGAGGAACACCGGUGGCGAAGGCGGCUACCUGGACCGGAUCUGACGCUGAUGCGCGAAAGCGUGGGGAGCAAACAGGG